GGUUCCAACUGUGAUGUUUCACCUUCUUCUUUAUCAUUCCGUCAGAUACACGAUCCUGUUCAUCUUCCUGAUUGAGAGAAACUGGAAACGUUUUCUGGUUACGCUCAAGCGGAGAGUCGUCUACAAUUGAAGCAUCAGCUAUUGACGGUCUAUCAUUCAUUGCUUUCCCAUUUACUGCGAUCAUCAUAAUCUUCAGCUAUAAAUAGAUAUGUUUUUCCCCAUGAAAUUCAUCCGUUCUUUCUUCUCAUUCAUAAGCUUUUUUUAAGAAAUAUACCUUUGAAAAUGGCUAACCCCUCUGUCCUCCUUGCCGAUUGAACGCCGGCGGUUGUCCCUCCACCGUCGAUGUCCGCUUCCUUAGUUUUUGGGAAAUCAGGAGUGUGAAUUGCGGCGGCGAGCUAAUGGGGUUCACAUGCUCCUCCUCGAAGCUCAGAAAAUCUUCCCCGAAGUUUCUUUUAUAUAGUUGAUGAUGAAAUUGGCGAUCUUUAUAUGUAUUAAAACAUUAUUUUGAGAAGUUAGAGGAAGAGUCCCCAAAGGAUAACUCCGUCGUAGUGUAUGUGUUACCCUACGAGCUACGCCGUAACCAACGAAGUUGAAAACACCGACUCUGACCAGACAUUAGCGGGACGACCAUUCGCAUUGACAAGAAGGUUUUCACCGUCAAAUAAACACCAGUCAUUGACUUACCAAGAGAUAUUGAAGCUGAGAUGAGAAGAUGAAGGCUUGAACUUAGGCAAACCAUGGACAUGUACAGCUCAGCGUCGAAAGAAGCACUUAAUACAAAAGGACGGUUAGAAAUAUAGGUGUCAAGCAGGGAUAGUUGAUGAUGAGCAAGCUGCUCCGUCUAAAACUUUAUGACUCCCAUGUUUCUCUUGAAAAAUUAGCAUAAGCUGUGGAGAAUGUAAGAAGCUCGAAGAUUUGAGGAAGCUAGGAGUGCUGAAGCGACAGUCCUGGCUAUUCCAAAGAUGGAGAAGGCCAAGUCUAGAGCUACAAUGGAAGCAAGUGAGAAAGCGCAGAUGAUGGUGGAACUAGAAGGAAGCAAGCUGAAAUGACCAAAAAGAAGGGAAUCGCACGAGAAAUACGGUGGUUUAAUUCUUUCGUACAUAACGAUGUCUGGUACAAAAGAUAAACUUGAUCACAACCCUAUUGCCAUUAGUCUUUCGCUUUCGUACGUAUCCUGCAUAUGGGUAUUUGGUGUAUGAGUUCAUGGAAAAUGGAAAAUGGGAGCUUAGAGGAAAGGCUUUCAAAA